rnacentral:rRNA from 1 species
CACGUAGGUAACCUGCCCUCGAGACGGGGAUAACGGCUGGAAACGGUCGCUAAUACCCGAUAUAGUCUGACCUUCGGGAGAAGGUGAGAGGAAAGGCUUCGGUGCUCGGGGAGGGGCCUGCGGUCCAUCAGCUAGUUGGAGAGGUAACGGCUCCCCAAGGCAAUGACGGGUAGGGGGUGUGAGAGCAUGGUCCCCCACACUGGGACUGAUACACGGCCCAGACUCCUACGGGAGGCUGAAGCACGGAAUAUUGCGCCAUGGACGGAAGUCUGACUCCAUGACGCCGCGCGGAUGGCGAAGGCCUUCGGGGUGUAAAAUCCUUUCCCCGGCGAUGAGGAAGGACCCUUGUCUGUGAAUAAGCGCCGCGUAACUACGUGUCAGUAGCCGCGUUAAUACGUUAGACGCGAGCGUUUUCUCGAUUUACUUGGGGGAAAAGCGCCUGCGGGUGGUCAGGUAAGUCGGUUGUGAAAGCCCCGUGCUCAACGCGGGGAGGCCAAGCGAUACUGCGUGACUUGAGGGCGGAAGAGGGGAGUGGAAUUCCCGGUGUAGCGGUAAAAUGCGCAGAUAUCGGGAGGAACACCAGUGGCGAAGGCGGCUCCCUGGACCGCACCUGACGCUCAGAGGCGAAAGCUAGGGGAGCGAACAGGAUUAGAGACCCUGGUAGUCCUAGCCCUAAACGCUGGAUGCUAGGUGUAGGGCUGAUGAGGCUCUGUGCCGGAGCGAACGCGAUAAGCAUCCCGCCUGGGAACUACGGCCGCAAGGCUAAAACUCAAACGAAUUGACGGGGACCCGCACAAGCAGCGGAGCGUGUGGUUUAAUUCGAUGCUACACGAAGAACCUUACCUGGGUUUGACAUGCUGGUGGUACCGAACCGAAAGGGGAGGGACCCUUCGGGGAGCCAACACAGGUGCUGCAUGGCUGUCGUCAGCUCGUGCCGUGAGGUGUCGGGUUAAGUCCCGUAACGAGCGCAACCCUUGCUCUUAGUUAUACGUGUCUAAGGGGACUGCCGGCGACAAGCCGGAGGAAGGUGGGGAUGACGUCAAGUCAGCAUGGCCUUGAUAUCCAGGGCUACACACACGCUACAAUGGCCGGUACAAAGGGCAGCCAAGCCGCGAGGUGGAGCGAAUCCCAGCAAAGCCGGUCCCAGUUCGGAUUGCAGGCUGCAACCCGCCUGCAUGAAGUUGGAGUUGCUAGUAACCGCGCGUCAGCCAUAGUGCGGUGAAUACGUACCCGGGU